UACGGAGGGAGCUAGCGUUGUUCGGAAUUACUGGGCGUAAAGCGCACGUAGGCGGCCAUUCAAGUCAGAGGUGAAAGCCCGGGGCUCAACUCCGGAAUUGCCUUUAAGACUGCAUCGCUUGAAUCCAGGAGAGGUGAGUGGAAUUCCGAGUGUAGAGGUGAAAUUCGUAGAUAUUCGGAAGAACACCAGUGGCGAAGGCGGCUCACUGGACUGGUAUUGACGCUGAGGUACGAAAGCAUGGGGAGCAAACAGGAUUAGAUACCCCUGUAGU
rnacentral:rRNA from 1 species